rnacentral:rRNA from 1 species
GACGAACGCUGGCGGCGUGCUUAACACAUGCAAGUCGAACGAAGAGCGAUGGACGCUUGCUUCUAUCAAUCUUAGUGGCGAACGGGUGAGUAACGCGUAAUCAACCUGCCCUUCAGAGGGGGACAACAGUUGGAAACGACUGCUAAUACCGCAUACGAUCUACUCUCGGCAUCGAGGAUAGAUGAAAGGUGGCCUCUACAUGUAAGCUAUCACUGAAGGAGGGGAUUGCGUCUGAUUAGCUAGUUGGAGGGGUAACGGCCCACCAAGGCGAUGAUCAGUGGCCGGUCUGAGAGGAGGAGCGGCCACAUUGGGACUGGGACACGGCCCAGACCCCUACGGGAGGCAGCAGUGGGGAAUCUUCCGCAAUGGACGAAAGUCUGACGGAGCAACGCCGCGGGAGUGAUGACGGCCUUCGGGUUGUAAAGCUCUGUUAAUCGGGACGAAAGGCCUUCUUGCGAAUAGUGAGAAGGAUUGACGGUACCGGAAUAGAAAGCCACGGCUAACUACGUG